AUUGAACGCUGGCGGCAUGCUUUACACAUGCAAGUAGUACGAGUGGCGGACGGGUGAGUAACGCAUCGGAACGUAACGAGUAAUGGGGGAUAACUAUCCGCAAGGACAGCUAAUACCGCAUAUUAUUCGAGCGGCCGAUGUGGGAUUAGCUGGUUGGCGGGGUAAAGGCCCACCAAGGCGAAGAUCAGUAGCGGGUCUGAGAGGAUGAUUCGCCACAAUGGUACUGAGACACGGCCCAGACUCCUACGGGAGGCAGCAGUGGGGAAUUUUGGACAAUGGGCGCAAGCCUGAUCCAGCCAUGCCGCGUGUCUGAAGAAGGCCUUCGGGUUGUAAAGGACUUUCGUCAGGGAAGCGGUACCUGAAGAAUAAGCACCGGCUAACUACGUGCCAGCAGCCGCGGUAAUAC
rnacentral:rRNA from 1 species